ACUGCUGAGGAGUUCCACAAUAGGACGAAACGCGCGUCAAACUGAAU
rnacentral:hammerhead_ribozyme from 1 species